rnacentral:misc_RNA from 1 species
GAUCAUGUGGGCCGCUGAUCCUUGAGCAGGAGAGGUACACGAAGGUCCACGAAGAGCGACAUUGUGCGACAAGGGAAAAACAACAAGUUGAAAUAUGCUUACUUAAAUCAAACCUAGAAGAAAUAGAAAAUGAUUUAGUUGCACAGAGAUCAGCGAUUCCAGCGCUAGAUGCUGAAAAUGAACAAAAGUAUCGUGAAACUAUAACAGCUUUGCGUGAAGCGCGCGCUCUUAACACAAAAAUUGAAGAUCUUAAGCAAGAAAAC